GACCACUUUGUUACUCUGUGCUUGUUCAUCUCUGAAAACCCUUCUUUGGGACCUAAUUUCUAUUUCAUCAUAGACAAACUUCCUGAAAGACUUGUAUUCACUCUCCAUCUCCACUUCUCACUCCUCAACCCACUGCAGCUCAGCGUGUGCCUAACAACACUGACACCAUUCCAGCCAACGUUGUCCAUUACCUUCUUGUUUCUAGAGCCCAAGAAUCUUCUGAGUCACCUCCAGAACUUAACUUGCAGCAGCUUUUGACUCCAUUGGCAGCUCUCUCCUUGCAACAUUCUCUUCUAUGGACUUUCAUAAAACAUCCAUUUGGUGUUGAUCCCAAGAGCGUUCAUCAAGCUCCUUCUCAGGAUCUGCAUCCAGGGAUCCCAACCCGUGACAGUAGGUACAAAGACUGGUCCACAAGCACAACACUGAGAUGGGAUUUUGGAGCUGACCACCAUCUCCUGGCUGCCAGUGAGGAUGCUGUCCCUGGAAGAAGUCUAUACUUGGCAACCCCAGCUGGAGGAACAAAGAUUUCUCCUCCCCCUGCAGCAGCCCAGCCAACGAGAGACUGUCACAACUCAGACAAUCAAAAGUCACUAUUAUUCCAGGUCCCAGUUUACUCCAAUGGACCUUUUGUUUGUAACAGCCCCAUCCCACUUUCCUCCAUAAAAAAGCUUUCCUCUCCUUUGUCCUCCAGACUCACCCAUGGUUUUGUAGUACCCUGCAUGCCUGAGUUGUUAUUCUCUGUUAUUCCAGAAUAAACUCAUUAAAGUAACUGACAGUUUUAUUUUUGAGGCUAACAGCACUAUGCUUGCCCUGCCUACCUCCCUUACUGAUUGUGAGACCCCCAUUUAUGUUUUUGAAGACUCAAUGAGCAGACGAUACCCCAGGAAGGCAUUUGACCGUUGUCAUGGAUUUAUAAGCGUGCAUAAAUUGUGCCUCCAAACCUAUUGGGAAAGAAGUUGGGUACAAAAAAGUACAUAGAACUGAAUUAAUAUCUGUGAGACGUAUCAAGUAGAGGAACUUCUGCUCGACAGUUCUGCCCGAUAGCAAUCCUGACACUGCUCUAACAGAAAUGAGGAUAUCCCAGUCGGCCUACUUACUGGCAAAAGAAGGUGGUCGGUCCAGAUCACAUCAGUCUAUGAUUUGCAACAGUUUGGGUUUCUUGCUGGUUACUUCCCUGUUGAGCAACACUUCUCUGGAAACACAAGAUUGUACAAUUCAGGCAAGACAAGGUCAGCUGAAUUCAGAGCUCCUACUCAAUUCCUUUUGUUUUCUUCCACAUCAACAUCCACAAUUAACUGUUCACUAGCAAGAUUGGCACAUUUUUACAUCAUCUUUUGAAUAAAUAUAUAUUUACCCAAGAAAGAAUUAAGGUAUAGUCCUGGACAUUAUGACUAACGCUUUUUACUAUGUGUUUUCAAUUUUAAUCAACGCAAGUAAUUGCAUGAUCAAAUAAUAAAAAAAAAAUAGCGGUAACAUUUGAGCACCUUCUUUAUUCCAACUACUAUGCUAAGAAUUAUAUGUAUACUAUUUCACUAAAUUUUAAUAGUGAAACUGAGAGUGUUUGCAUCUCUACCUUAAGAAAGUGAAAUUUAAGAUGAAACCACGUGCACAAGAUUGCAUCACCAUAGUGGCACAUCCAGGAUUCUGAUCCAUUUUGAUUCCAAAUUCAGGAACUUGAUCCCUUUGCUCUCCUAUCUGCACCUAAGGGCACCUACAGUGAGGAAGGUGUGCUGUGUACUGGGGAUGGCAAGAUGAAUGGAGUAGUAUCUGUCCUCAUCAAGCCCCAUAUAAUGUUUGGAUGAAUAUUAUAAAAGCUAUUACUGAGAGGCCCACAUGACUGAAAUGAAUGAUUACCAUAAUAGUUUUUCAUAGAAAUAAAACGUUUUUGUAAAUUGAGGGGGAAAUAUUCCCUUUAGUUUUUUACAUUGGGAAAUCUAAAUCAUUCCUUUUUGAUGUUUUUAAUUUUAAUUCCAGUAGAGCUAGCAUGCAGUGUUAUAUUAAUUUCAGGUGUACAAUAUGGUGAUUCAGCAAUUCGAUACAUUACUC